GACGAACGCUGGCGGCGUGCCUAAUACAUGCAAGUUGAGCGAUGAAGAUUGGUGCUUGCACCAAUUUGAAGAGCGGCGAACGGGUGAGUAACGCGUGGGGAAUCUGCCUUUGAGCGGGGGACAACAUUUGGAAACGAAUGCUAAUACCGCAUAACAACUUUAAACAUAAGUUUUAAGUUUGAAAGAUGCAAUUGCAUCACUCAAAGAUGAUCCCGCGUUGCAUUAGCUAGUUGGUGAGGUAAAGGCUCACCAAGGCGAUGAUACAUAGCCGACCUGAGAGGGUGAUCGGCCACAUUGGGACUGAGACACGGCCCAAACUCCUACGGGAGGCAGCAGUAGGGAAUCUUCGGCAAUGGACGAAAGUCUGACCGAGCAACGCCGCGUGAGUGAAGAAGGUUUUCGGAUCGUAAAACUCUGUUGGUAGAGAAGAACGUUGGUGAGAGUGGAAAGCUCAUCAAGUGACGGUAACUACCCAGAAAGGGACGGCUAACUACGUG
rnacentral:rRNA from 1 species